AUACUUACCUAGCAGGGGAGAUAUCAUGAUCAUAAAAGUCGUUUUCCCAGGGCAAGGCCUAUCUAUUGCAUUCUGGAUGUGCUAACCUCUGAGAUUUCCCCAAAUGCAGGAAACUGGACUGCAUAAUAUGUGGUGGUGUGGGACUGUGUUUGCGCUCUCACC